AAGUCGUAACAAGGUUUCCGUAGGUGAACCUGCGGAAGGAUCAUUAGCGAAGUCGAGUCCGGAUCCGUAGGGAUUGCAGCUGGCCUAACGGCAUGUGCUCGUCCCUCGGGUCCGUGACCUUCACUACCACACCCCACUGUGAACCAAGCGGGAGGUCGAAAGGCCUCUUGCGUCUUAUAAAAACCCCAAUCGCAUGUCUUAGAAUGUCAUGGCGUUAACUCGCAAAUAUAUAACUUUCAACAACGGAUCUCUUGGCUCUCGCAUCGAUGAAGAACGCAGCGAAAUGCGAUAAGUAAUGUGAAUUGCAGAAUUCAGUGAAUCAUCGAAUCUUUGAACGCACCUUGCACCCCUUGGUAUUCCGAGGGGUACGCCUGUUUGAGUGUCGUGAACUCCUCCAACUCCGGUUCUCCGAAGUAUGGGAUUUGGGUGUUGCCGGUCCCUGGCAGACCGGCUCGCCUUAAAUGCAUUAGCGAAGCCCUUGCGGCCUUGGCAGUGAUAAUCAUCCGCGCCUCGGCUUAGCGACUUUGAAGGGGAAUCGCUUACAACCGUCCUCCGGGACAAUCACUACGACUUGACCUCAGAUCAGGUGGGACUACCCGCUGAACUUAAGCAUAUCAAUAAGCGGAGGAAAAGAAACUAACAAGGAUUCCCCUAGUAACUGCGAGUGAAGCGGGAUGAGCUCAAAUUUAAAAUCUGGCGUCUUCGGGCGUCCGAGUUGUAAUUUAGAGAAGUGUUUUCCGCGCCGGACCGUGUACAAGUCUCCUGGAACGGAGCGUCAUAGAGGGUGAGAAUCCCGUCUUUGACACGGACUACCGUGUGCUAUGUGAUACGCUCUCGAAGAGUCGAGUUGUUUGGGAAUGCAGCUCAAAACGGGUGGUGAACUCCAUCUAAAGCUAAAUAUUGGCGAGAGACCGAUAGCGAACAAGUACCGUGAGGGGAAGAUGAAAAGCACUUUGGAAAGAGAGUGAAACAGUACGUGAAAUUGUUGAAAGGGAAACGCUUGAAGUCAGUCGCGUCGGCCGGGAUUCAGCCUCACGGUGUACUUUCCGGUCGACGGGUCAGCAUCACUUUCGGACGUCGGAAAAGGGUUUGAGGAACGUGGCACCUCCGGGUGUGUUAUAGCCUCCUAUCGUAUACGGCGACCGGGAGUGAGGAAUGCCUUUGUAGGAUGCUGGCGUAAUGGCUUUAAACGAC
rnacentral:rRNA from 1 species